rnacentral:rRNA from 1 species
UACGUAGGGUGCGAGCGUUGUCCGGAAUUAUUGGGCGUAAAGAGCUCGUAGGCGGUUUGUCACGUCUGCCGUGAAAACCCGAGGCUUAACCUCGUGGCUUGCGGUGGAUACGGGCAGACUAGAGUGUGGUAGGGGAGACUGGAAUUCCUGGUGUAGCGGUGAAAUGCGCAGAUAUCAGGAGGAACACCGAUGGCGAAGGCAGGUCUCUGGGCCACUACUGACGCUGAGAAGCGAAAGCGUGGGGAGCGAACAGG